AUUGAACGCUGGCGGCAUGCCUUACACAUGCAAGUCGAACGGCAGCAUGAUCUAGCUUGCUAGAUUGAUGGCGAGUGGCGAACGGGUGAGUAAUACAUCGGAACGUGCCCUGUAGUGGGGGAUAACUAGUCGAAAGAUUAGCUAAUACCGCAUACGACCUGAGGGUGAAAGUGGGGGACCGCAAGGCCUCAUGCUAUAGGAGUGGCCGAUGUCUGAUUAGCUAGUUGGUGAGGUAAAGGCUCACCAAGGCGACGAUCAGUAGCUGGUCUGAGAGGACGAUCAGCCACACUGGGACUGAGACACGGCCCAGACUCCUACGGGAGGCAGCAGUGGGGAAUUUUGGACAAUGGGCGAAAGCCUGAUCCAGCAAUGCCGCGUGUGUGAAGAAGGCCUUCGGGUUGUAAAGCACUUUUGUCCGGAAAGAAAUGGCUCUGGUUAAUACCUGGGGUCGAUGACGGUACCGGAAGAAUAAGGACCGGCUAACUACGUG
rnacentral:rRNA from 1 species